rnacentral:rRNA from 1 species
GACGAACGCUGGCGGCGUGCUUAACACAUGCAAGUCGAACGGAAAGGCCCUGCUUUUGUGGGGUGCUCGAGUGGCGAACGGGUGAGUAACACGUGAGUAACCUGCCCUUGACUUUGGGAUAAAUUCAGGAAAAUGGGGCUAAUACCGGAUAGGAGCUCCUGCUGCAUGGUGGGGGUUGGAAAGUUUCGGCGGUUGGGGAUGGACUCGCGGCUUAUCAGCUUGUUGGUGGGGUAGUGGCUUUCCAAGGCUUUGACGGGUAGCCGGCCUGAGAGGGUGACCGGCCACAUUGGGACUGAGAUACGGCCCAGACUCCUACGGGAGGCAGAAGUGGGGAAUAUUGCACAAUGGGCGGAAGCCUGAUGCAGCAACGCCGCGUGCGGGAUGACGGCCUUCGGGUUGUAAACCACUUUCGCCUGUGACGAAGCGUGAGUGACGGUAAUGGGUAAAGAAGCACCGGCUAACUACGUG